GCGAGAGUGCUGGAAUAGGUAGACAGGCACGUUUGAGGGGCGUGUGGCAACAGUCGUGUGAGUUCAAGUCUCAUCUCUCGCACCA
rnacentral:tRNA from 1 species